GAUGAAGAACGUAGCGAAAUGCGAUAAGUAGUGUGAAUUGCAGACUUUAGUGAAUCAUCGAAUCUUUGAACGCACAUUGCGCCCCUUGGUAUUCCAUGGGGCAUGCCUGUUCGAGCGUCAUUUGUACCUUCAAGCUCUGCUUGGUGUUGGGUGUUUGUCUCGCCUCUGCGUGUAGACUCGCCUCAAAACAAUUGGCAGCCGGCGUAUUGAUUUCGGAGCGCAGUACAUCUCGCGCUUUGCACUCAUAACGACGACGUCCAAAAGUACAUUUUUACACUCUUGACCUCGGAUCAGGUAGGGAUACCCGCUGAACUUAAGCAUAUCAAUAAGCGGAGGA
rnacentral:misc_RNA from 1 species